GACGGAGGAUGCAAGCGUUAUCCGGAAUGAUUGGGCGUAAAGCGUCCGCAGGUGGCAGUUCAAGUCUGCUGUCAAAGACCGGGGCUUAACUUCGGAAAGGCAGUGGAAACUGAACAGCUAGAGUAUGGUAGGGGCAGAGGGAAUUCCUGGUGUAGCGGUGAAAUGCGUAGAUAUCUGGAGGAACACCGGUGGCGAAGGCGGCAUCCUGGACCAAUUCUGACGCUGAGGAGCGAGAGCCAGGGGAGCAAACGGG
rnacentral:rRNA from 1 species